rnacentral:rRNA from 1 species
AUUGAACGCUGGCGGCAUGCCUUACACAUGCAAGUCGAACGGUAACAGGUCUUCGGAUGCUGACGAGUGGCGAACGGGUGAGUAAUACAUCGGAACGUGCCCGAUCGUGGGGGAUAACGAGGCGAAAGCUUUGCUAAUACCGCAUACGAUCUACGGAUGAAAGCGGGGGAUCUUCGGACCUCGCGCGGACGGAGCGGCCGAUGGCAGAUUAGGUAGUUGGUGGGAUAAAAGCUUACCAAGCCGACGAUCUGUAGCUGGUCUGAGAGGAUGAUCAGCCACACUGGGACUGAGACACGGCCCAGACUCCUACGGGAGGCAGCAGUGGGGAAUUUUGGACAAUGGGCGAAAGCCUGAUCCAGCCAUACCGCGUGCAGGAUGAAGGCCUUUGGGUUGUAAACUGCUUUUGUACGGAACGAAAAGCCUCUUUCUAAUAAAGAGGGGUCAUGACGGUACCGUAAGAAUAAGCACCGGCUAACUACGUG